rnacentral:rRNA from 1 species
GACGAACGCUGGCGGCGUGCUUAACACAUGCGAGUCGAACGGAAAGGCCCUGCUUUUGUGGGGUGCUCGAGUGGCGAACGGGUGAGUAACACGUGAGUAACCUGCCCUUGACUUUGGGAUAACUUCAGGAAACUGGGGCUAAUACCGGAUAGGAGCUCCUGCUGCAUUGUGGGGGUUGGAAAGUUUCGGCGGUUGGGGAUGGACUCGCGGCUUAUCAGCUUGUUGGUGGGGUAGUGGCUUACCAAGGCUUUGACGGGUAGCCGGCCUGAGAGGGUGACCGGCCACAUUGGGACUGAGAUACGGCCCAGACUCCUACGGGAGGCAGCAGUGGGGAAUAUUGCACAAUGGGCGGAAGCCUGAUGCAGCAACGCCGCGUGCGGGAUGACGGCCUUCGGGUUGUAAACCGCUUUCGCCUGUGACGAAGCGUGAGUGACGGUAAUGGGUAAAGAAGCACCGGCUAACUACGUG